AAAGCUCCUCGGAAGCCAGCGAGCGAGCGAGCGAUGGGGCGCGCUAGCCGGCGUCUUGCAGCAGGCAGGCCCGCCCGCCUCCCCCGCUCACGGCCGCGCAGCCCCGGGCCAGGCGCUCCCAGCUACAGCAUCGCCGUGGUGCUGAAACGGACAGCUCACCCCGGCCGGGCUCGUCCACUUACUGCAUCGCCGUAGUGCUGAAGUGGACAGCUCCCCACGACCAGGCGCUCUCACCUACAGCAUCGCCGCGGUGCUGGACUGGACAGCUCUCGGAGCAGGAGCGCCCACCUACUGCGUCGCCGUGGUGCUGAACUGGACAACUCCCCCACUCUGUGCGCUCCCUGCGCUCUGUAGCCGGCCAGGAGUGGGGCCCUGGCCACGGGGCCUCUGUCGUCCGCGGACGGGCCAGGCCAGGGCCAAGCGCAGGGCUGCCUGGCCUCCCGGACUCCUGUUCCACAGUUCCGGAAUGAGCGCUGGCCGGGGCCUCCUGGAGCUGGGAGGAAGGCGUAGCUGGCGAUCUCUCUCUCUCUCUCUCUCUCUCUCUCUCUCUCUCUCUCUCUCCUCUUCCCUCCCCCCUUGGUGUUUCUUCCAGUUCAGCCUCCUUCUCAUUCCAUCUCUACGUGCCCAGAGCUUCAAAUACAGUCCUCCCAUCACAGUCAGAUUCCCACAAAACUUCAAUCAGCUGCUUCUCCUGGAAGAGAACCUGGAUGGAACUCGAGGCACCCAAGAUGAAAGGCAGAGCAACACCAGAAACAAAAGCUCAUGUCUUGAGCUCUCCCGCUUCUCGCCCAGCGCUUCCUCGAGUCCUGAAAGCCUGCUCCGAUCUGUCUUCUGAGUCAAGGCACUGCGGUCUUCCUGUGGUGACAUCCCCUCCAUGCAGCUGUGCCUCCCAACCCGGUCUCUGUGGCCAGGACAUUCCCCCAAGUCUACACUUCUGAAUGACUUCUGUCCUUCUUACCAUGGUAGCUGGGGUCCUGGCUAUGUUUGGAUCAUGAGGUAUGAUGUAACUCCAGACCUACGUCAGCUGAGCUUAGGGAGUCAGAACUAGACCAUCCAGUGGCUCUGAGUCCUCGAUAUGCUCUGGUCACUCCCCAACCCACCAGGGAACACCACCCUGAAUCUCAGAGCAUCUUUUGUAUCGGAUCUCAGGGCACAAGACUACAGUCUGGUCUGUGCUGCUGUGUUGAGAAUUGUGCAGCCUGGUUGCCUGUGGCACAGGUGGGCAUGGCACAGGUCUCUUGCCUGUCAUCAUGUUUUGGGGUCAGGAGAAACAUACUGACUGGCUAAAGAAGGAGGUGUGAUGAGACUGGAAGGAGACAGGACCAGGCCCCAUCACUAGCCAUGCUCCUAAGGGUCUCAUUGCUGGGCACUGAGAUGGUAGCAAUACUGGGGCUGGAUCCUUCUCAUCUUGAGAGCUGCUCACUUUCUGUCUGCUCCCAGAGACCAAGCCAGAAUGCAGCAUGCAGCUCUCAAACCUGUCACAUCUGCCAACUGUGAGACAGUGGGCAGGGCGCUGGCAUGGGAAGCCCCCUUUGACCUUAUUCAUGCAAGUACUAUGUGCUAACUGAUUUCUCCCCCAAAGCUCCCUUUCUUAAAGACAAGACACAGAAGUCAUCCAGCACCUGUGAUGGUGAAGUUUAUUGUCAAUCUGACAUAGCCCACAACCACCUGGAAUUAAUGAGGGAUUGUCCACACUGGGUAGGCCUGUGAGCAAGCCUGUGGAAGAUUGUCUUUAAUUGAUGUAGGGAGAUGCGGUCCACUGCGGGUAGUUCCAUUCCCUAGGCUCGCACCCCGGACUGUAUAAGAGUAGAGACAUCAAGCUGAGCACAAGCAAGUGAGCACGUGUGCAUCCAUUUCUCUCUGUUUUGACUGCCGAUGUGAAGUGACCAAAGUCAUUGCCUUGACUUCCUGUUAUGGUCGACUGAAACCUGGAAUUGAGAGCUUAAAGCAAAUCCUUUCCCUUCUCAGUCGCUUUUUAUCCGAGUAUAUUAUAACAGCGACAGGAAUUAGAAUGAGAACAUGCCUGUUACAUGCCAGAGAAUCUCCUUCCUGCUUUGCAGUUACAUUUCUCUAAUUCGCCUCACAUUUAAAAAAAGAAAAGAAAAAAAAAAAGGCUAGUGC
ensembl:processed_transcript A730060N03Rik RIKEN cDNA A730060N03 gene